CUCAACUCACUCGGCGUUAAACUUUCAAGACUUUUCUGCUCUGCGCGAACAUUUCCUAGCGCCAUAUUAAGCUGAGUCCAGAACUAUAAGGCCAACACAUCGUAAUUUUUAUAUCAGGAAAAACUUAAUUGAUGCCCUGGGUCGAAUAACUCGCCUGACACUCGGAGGCACGCGCUGAUACCAGUCGGAUAACAGUGAGUGGCCCGCGUCACGCUCCGAGCUAAGGGCCGUUCGGGCAGAAACUCACCGGAGUAUUUGACAUUUGCUUCAAAGAAAACAGGGGUUUAUAUAGUGGUUAAGAGUCUACUUGAUUGGGGAUGAGACGAUCAAAAAGCACGUAAUCAAGGAUUUCAAGAAAUUAUGGUUGGAAGCUAUUGGGGAUAAUAUCAAGAAAGGAAGAGGCAAGCGAACUAAAAAAUGUUUAUUUAUUUGUAAUCAACAUUUUACUGUAGAUUGUCUAAGACUUGGAAGUAGAGAAAUACUAAAGGAUGGAAGCAUAAAUUUUAUAUCAUGAUCACGGGUAUCCUUAAAAUCAGGUGUCUCGAUGAUACCAGAGGAAAGAAGAGGUGUUCUAGUUGUAGAUGAGAUGCAGAUAAGCCAAGGGCUUAAUUUUGAAACCGAAAACUUAUGUGUUAUAGGUUUUACGGACUUAGGCGAUUAUACACCAGAGCUCCAAAAAAACGUGCUCACCAUGCUCUCGUGCAAUUAUUCCAACCAUUUCGUGGUAAAUAGGUACAAAACAUAGCAGCAUUUCUGCAAUGAUUGGAUCUGUAGCGAUUUUU